rnacentral:rRNA from 1 species
GAGGAAUAUUGGUCAAUGGGCGAGAGCCUGAACCAGCCAAGUCGCGUGAAGGAAGACGGUUCUAUGGAUUGUAAACUUCUUUUGUAAGGGAAUAAAGUUCACUACGUGUAGUGUUUUGUAUGUACUUUACGAAUAAGGAUCGGCUAACUCCGUGCCAGCAGCCGCGGUAAUACGGAGGAUCCAAGCGUUAUCCGGAUUUAUUGGGUUUAAAGGGUGCGUAGGCGGACUCUUAAGUCAGUGGUGAAAGUUUGCGGCUCAACCGUAAAAUUGCCGUUGAAACUGAGAUUCUUGAGUGUAAAUAAAGUAGGCGGAAUGUGUUGUGUAGCGGUGAAAUGCUUAGAUAUAACACAGAACACCAAUUGCGAAGGCAGCUUACUGGGAUACAACUGACGCUGAGGCACGAAAGCGUGGGGAUCAAAC